rnacentral:rRNA from 1 species
AUUGAACGCUGGCGGCAUGCCUUACACAUGCAAGUCGAACGGCAGCACGGGUGCUUGCACCUGUUGGCGAGUGGCGAACGGGUGAGUAAUACAUCGGAACAUGUCCUUUAGUGGGGGAUAGCCCGGCGAAAGCCGGAUUAAUACCGCAUACGAUCUACGGAUGAAAGCGGGGGACCUUCGGGCCUCGCGCUAUCGGGUUGGCCGAUGGCUGAUUAGCUAGUUGGUGGGGUAAAGGCCUACCAAGGCGACGCUCAGUAGCUGGUCUGAGAGGACGACCAGCCACACUGGGACUGAGACACGGCCCAGACUCCUACGGGGGGAAGCAGUGGGGAAUUUUGGACAAUGGGCGAAAGCCUGAUCCAGCAAUGCCGCGUGUGUGAAGAAGGCCUUCGGGUUGUAAAGCACUUUUGUCCGGAAAGAAAUCCUUGGCCCUAAUACGGUCGGGGGAUGACGGUACCGGAAGAAUAAGCACCGGCUAACUACGUG